GCAAGUCAACUUGACUUUAGAUAGCAAUAUCGGAAAAGUAGGGUGGCGCACGGGUGCGUAACGCGUAGGUAAUCUGCCCUGAGGUCUGACAUAACCCGUCGAAAGGCGGGCUAACAUCAGAUGAUAUAUAAUCACGACAUCGUGGAAAUAUCAAAUCUUCGGAGCCUUGGGAUGAGCCUGCGUCUGAUUAGGUAGUUGGCGGAGUAAUAGCCCACCAAGCCUACGAUCAGUAGCUGGUCUGAGAGGAUGAUCAGCCACACUGGAACUGAGACACGGUCCAGACUCCUACGGGAGGCAGCAGUAAGGAAUAUUGCUCAAUGGGGGAAACCCUGAAGCAGCAACGCCGCGUGAAGGAUGAAAUACUUUGUAUGUAAACUUCUGUAAGAUGGGAAAAAUAUUCUCCUCGGGAGAAUUGAUUGUACCAUCAGAGUAAGCCCCGGCUAACUACGUG
rnacentral:rRNA from 1 species